UUUUUGAUUUUCUUUUACAAGAAUUUUAUUUUGACUAAAAGUUUAUUUUUUUUUUUUAUUAGAGACUGAUUCUUUAGUUGUAAUUCUUCAUUUUUCUUAUCAACUUCUUCUUUUUCUUUAGCUAAUACAUGGUUUCUUGAUUUUAGAUUUUUAUUUUUUAUUUCUAAUUCUUUUAGGUCAUUUAAAAGUUCAUGAAAAGCUUCUAACAGUUCAUCAUAAGUAAAUUCACUUUGAGUUUCAGGUGAUACCAUAUUUUCAUAUGCCAUAAGGCACAGGUUGGCUCUUUCAUGAGUUUCUUCGUUAGU
rnacentral:lncRNA from 1 species